CCUCAGCAGCAGCACACCAGACUCCUGCUUGCAUAGCCCACUACUAAGUGCAGUGGCAGAGGAGAAAGCUGUUCUGCAGCUGGGUGAGCCCAGAAUGGCCUGCUUUGUUUAUGCCUCAUCCCUGUCUUUUCAGGAUGACUCUGACUACAGCAUCUCCUUGAUUCAGAAGGACACUGCAGAGAGAGAGUGGGGCUGGAAAGAUGAAAAUACACUGAAUAAUAAUCCUGGAAGAAGCAAUUUAGAACUUCCCAGCUGCAGGACAACCUUAAAGACCUGAUUUCUCUAUUGAGUUUGAAUCUACUGAAAAAGUGAAUAGGAGCUAUAGCAGAUCCUUGAAAAACUAUGAUUCAGUGUGGUGUGAAGCAUAAAAUUAAUGUAGAACUAUCAUACCCAUAAAAUUCUUCGUGGAGAAAUAGCAAGCAGCUUUUUCACUGUCCUUACUUCACCAGCAGGAUAUGAAACAUGGAAACACUUCCCUUAAAAACUGAACAAAGGACCACCGGAUGCCCAAAUGACAUUGCCAACCAAGAUUCUCUUGAGAGAAUUUCUCAGACAGGAAUGAUCUCCAAGGAAGUGGACAAGGAAGUCUCAACCACCUUGUUCUCUGCAGUUUUCAGUUCAGUUAAGCUCUGGGAAUUGCAGGUACAAGCUUAAAAGAACACCCACUUUAAAGACUAAGGGAGAUGCAAGUUUUGGUUUUGGCAAAGAAUCAACCAAGAAUUGCAACAGAGAAUUUAAGUUUAAGGCAAAAAUUGAGCCAAGGUAGGCAUCAAGUAGGUAUUUACUUUCAAAAUACUUAUACAACCUAAUGAACCAGAACUCUGUCUACACCAUAGAUUUGGAAUUGCAGUCUUCAUUGCAGUUUUGCAAAAGUACAUCUUUGGUGGUAUGCUUGAUGGUCAGGUUGUGAUUCCAACUAUUCUGGCAAAAACUCAUUAAGCGUCAGCGAAUGACAGGGGAAUGAGAGGCAAUGAUGAGCUAGUAAAGGCAAGAUAUAUUUUCAUUCUCUGUGUAAACAGAAUUGCAAUUGUCAUUUCAGUGCUUAUGUAUCAAUGACAGCUGGUCUAUUAGGAGAGCAUUUUAUAUCUGUAUACUGUAACUUUGUGGGCAUGCAGGCGGUGGGUAACAUACAGCAAGUAUCAAAUGGAUAAAGAUUGUAUUUGGCCGGGUAAGAUACAGAAGCCUGGCAGAGGGGCUCUUGGUGCCACAACACAGCAAGCUCUGUGCAUCUUGUUGGAUUAAAGACUAGAUUUGUGUCUUAGCCAAUAUAAUGUCAUGUUGAGUUAUGUAAAUCCCAUCACAGAAAUGCAAACACAAUGCAGCAGCAGCAUUCUUUGGCAUGGGCUGUUCAGCUGUUUUCCUCAAACUGAUUUGAUGUCUUGCUACAGAUUGUUUUUCCCUUGCAGCGCAACCAUACUGUUAGUUAAUUCCUUUUUUUUUUUAUUAUUAGCAUUAUUAUUUUUUUCUGACUUAUUGUGAUGUA